rnacentral:rRNA from 1 species
AGACUGCCUCGGUUAACGGGGAGGAAGGUGGGGAUGACGUCAAAUCAUCAUGCCCCUUACGCCCUGGGCUGCACACGUGCUACAAUGGCCGGUACAACGGGCUGCGACGGGGUGACCCCGAGCGAAUCCCUUAAAACCGGUCCCAGUUCGGAUUGAAGGCUGAAACUCGCCUUCAUGAAGCCGGAGUCGCUAGUAAUCGCGAAUCAGCACGUCGCGGUGAAUACGUUCCCGGGCCUUGUACAC